CUAGAAAGUAACAAGGGCAAUGUGAU
rnacentral:piRNA from 1 species